GGCAGCCAGGUUGUGAACCACUUUCUAGCUCCAAUUCAAGCCUGGUUUGAAAUCUUCUCUUAUACAUUGGAAACAAAGCUGGUUUAUUGAAGUUGGAACAAUCUGAACGUUCUGAAUUCCAAGAGGAGUGCAGGCAGACGAACGCAGCUGGCAAAGAUUCACACUCCAGAGGAAGCAGUACUAUGGGGUCCUGCCAACUGGACUAGCAACAAUUUCAUCCGUCUGCCUCCUUCACAGUGCCUCAUAUUCCUGUCUGGGAACAGAUUUCUUUAAACUCGUUUUUUUACCAGUUUCCACAAAUCUGUCUGUGACCCGACUGGACCCUUCUCUGCGCAUUGGCGGGGGAAAGGCCUGGAUCCACCCUCCUGCCAGCUGUCCCUCCUUACUAGGAACUGGCAGUACCUGCAACAGCUAGCAGGCCUGGGGCUUUAGGGUCUGCAUCCUGCCAACAGCCCAGUGUAAAAAGUCCAGCAAUCACGCAGGUGCCCUGGGCCAGCACAUUUUGAUUAUGCUGCAGGAUCCAAGUAAAUGAGAUGGUGCGGACCCCGCUUCUGCACACAGGACAUUCUUGUUUAUCAGACUAUUUUUCUUAUCCAGAAAUCUCGCAUCACAAUUAACUGCGGAGAUGAUCCUGGUGCCACGUUAACCUUGCCGAGUGUUUGCAUGAGGGAGACAAAGCACGUUGCAGAGAAAAGCCUCCCUGGGGCAAAGUGCAGUCAGACAGAGGAGCAUUGGAAUUCAGUUCAGGUGCAGACCAGGCCUGCAGGGCUGGCAAAAUGCUGCUGAAAUCCAAACACUGUCCUCCUUGGAUCUAGUUACCUUUUGCCUGGCUCUGGCUGAGUGCAAUGUUUUCUGGCUAAACACCGCACAGAAUGUAGGACCCACAGAGACCCAGAGCAGGUGCAGAGGCUCCCAUGGCUGAGAAUCUCCUCCCUGGGCUUUGUGAGAAUCAAAUUUUAAGAGAAGUUUCACGACACAGAUGUCCAACCUCACUUCUCCGAGACCCCAGCGAGUGGCAGUGAAUACUGCAGUUUCUGGGGACUGGCAUGUAAGAAUUAUGGAGACAUUUAAAGGUGACACCAUGAGAAUACAACAAUAUGGACAUAUACAAACUAUGUAUCUCCACAUCAAAUAACUUGGUUACUGUGCAGCACUCGCAUAUGUUUAGGGCAUAGAAGUACAGCUUGAAAUACAGGGUGCAUGACUGUAUGUAUAACUUUUACAGGGAUUAUGUCUUGAUACACACGUCAGUUUGAUAACACCAGCACCCGUUACGUGCGUCAGUCUGAUUAAUGCCUGGCUCACGUGGCAGUCCAUGAUAGGGAAAUUACAGAAAGGGAGAACGCCUGGGGUGCAGAAGAACAGUCUGGAAGUAGUGGAGGAGGGACAGUAAGAAGAAGACAUACGAGGGAGGGGCGGAUGCGCCAUGUGGAGGUGGGAGGUCGUACUGGAGGAAUAUUGCCCCAGUCUUGUACAGCUUGCAAAGUAUCCCAGAACCCCCAAGCCCUGGACUGACUCUUGUCACAGGCACGAUUCCUAAACAUCUUUUAAUGCCUGAGCUAAUUCCCAGGCAAGAGUGUUUGUUGCCUGGAGUUAAGUGGACUAGAUCCAAAACUCCUCAGAACACUGCAGUUUUCUCAAAUAAUACAGAUCUUACAAAGCCUGGACAUUGCAAGUUAAAGGUCUGCCUUACCAACAUACCACAAGUGGGCCAGAAGGAGACAGCUAGUGUGUAGAUGGGAUGUUCCAAGAAACACUUUGAAAGAAAUGAAAAAAUUUCAUUUCUUAAAAAUGUUUUUAUUGAAAAUAUCGAUUUCUUUUACAAGAAAGAAAGAAAGAAAGAAAGAAAAAAGAAUUUUACCAAUUUAUUUUUUUUAACUGAAAAAUUGGAAAAUUUCAAACAAAGCUAAACAUUUUGGGGAACAAUCCAGUUUUCAUUUUUAAAAGUUGAGAUGGAAAAUGUUAGACCAGUUCUAGUGUUAACCCUUUCAUGGUCACUGACAAGAUGCUCUUCUAUUCUGACAGCCAUAGACUGUCAGCACAGACGGGAACGCUGGGAUCAGCUAGUCUGACCUAAUACCAUGGGCCAGAGAACUGCCCCCAGAGAUUCCAGCGUCAAGCCCAACAACUUGUGAUUGAACUAAAAUGUAGCCUUGAGAAAGACUCUGUGUGGUGGAGAAUUCCCCACCCCCCUUGGAAGUGGUUCCAGUCACUCGCUACCUUCACUGUUAGAAGCAUGCACUUUAUUUUCUGCUUGAACUUUGCUAACUUCAACUUCCAGCCAUUGGAUCUUGCUGCACCUUGGUCUUCUGGUCUGAGAGCGCCUCUCCCUGUGUAGAUCCUGUAAGCUGGGAGUGAGUCACGUCUUCACGUUCUCUUUGAUGAAAUAGUCUGAACCCCGUCAGUCUCUCAUCGUGAUAUCUGGGUGAGCGAGCAGUUUAGGAUGAACACAGGGAGAGCAAUUUGGGGUAGAACCUAUGCCCUGGCUUGCACACAAAAGCAAAUGCUGAAGCAACGUGCCCUGGUAAUAUAAACAUUUUCCCUGGAGCCAUGGCCUUUCCUGCAGGGAAGACAGCAGGAUGCAGUGUCUCACACACAUCAGGCUCCCAAGCCCAGCCCCAAGGGGAAAGUCCUCGGCUGUUGAUGCUUUGAGGUGGCCUGAUCACUCUGCUGUGUGACGUCCCUGCACACACCUCGUUCCCGCGCCUGCAGAUUGAGGAGAGAGCACAGAAGUGAGACCAGAACAGGGCCGGUUGGGUCCCCCAGCGCACGCUCUCUCACUGCGCUCGGAAAGCACUACACGUAGCCCUUCCCCCAGGACACAAACUCCAGAGCUCCUGGAGCCCAGCGCUGGCUCACUCACUGCCCAGCCGCAUCCGUUCACACAGGGGCUGCGUGAUAUUGGCUCACCAGGAAGGGAAGUGGAUCUACUUCUCAUUUUCAUUAAAAUGCAAAUUAAUUUAAUAAAAAGUAGAACUGUAAAUUAAUGAACCACUUACAAAUUCUAUAUAGUACAAGUCUAAUACUUACACUCCAGAAUUUCCUCUAGUUAAUAACACGACUAACUCUCAGGAGUGGGGCUGGCCUGACAGGUCCACCAGGCUAAAUAAAUCCGUUUGCUAGGGGAUGGGGUUGCUGUUGUUGCAUGAGGACAUUUUCUUUUUACUGCUGGCUGAUUGUGGGGGUGAUCAGAGAGUCGUUCUUCUCCCUAGAGGGGCUACAUGUCAGCCACUUUGCAAGGUGGGCUAACACCUGUAAGUGUUUGCGUACCCCACAGCUAGUGCAUUAACGAACAUGGUCUGUGAUACGGACAGGCCAUGGGCCAGCUCCUGCCAGGGUCCCCAAGUCUCAGUUGGACACUGACAGCUACACAGCUGGAAUCAGGCUGGCUCAUGUGUGUUAAUAUUGUUAAAACAGAUCUUAGGAUUAUAUAAGGACAAGUUUAGUGCUUAGACCUUAUUGAAUGCCUGUGAGUUGCUGCCGGCAUUAAUCUCACAUGCAGCAUUUGUAUCCCACACUGUCAGGUUAUAUUUAAGCAUUCAUACUGUGACCCUCUGUGACUGUAAAUCACCAGACCGGAGAGAGACAUUAGCUAGUGUAAAGUGCUGGUCUCCAGGCGCAGGUGUUAUGUCCUGGCCAACAAGGGAGGCCCAUCGACUCAGACAGACUAUUGUGGAACAUUAAAGAGAACAAAAGACUUUGUAGUUCUGCUUCCACCCCACCCGCAUGAAGAGGAGUCUUGCAAGUGGAUUCCUCCCUUCAGCUGAGUUCGCAGCUCAGGGCACAUGGGGGGAAGGGAAUAAAAACUCCUGAUGAGAAGGAUCUGUAUCUCUGUGCUGCCUGGGCUCUGCAGGGCAAGGUUUCGAGGCAUAAACAAGGGAUCUCCAGCUGCCUCGGCUAGGUUAGCCCUAAAGGACAUUUAGAGCUUGCUUAUUAUAGAAGCGUCUAUUACCUUUUGAAACUUAAGACUAUAACUCGUUUGUGUGUAUCUAUGUUUACCUUUUUAACCUUGUAAAUAACUCUCGUUUCCUUUUCCUACACAAUAAAUCUGUAGAUAGUUUAUUAUAGGAUUGGCUACAAGUGCUGUCUUUGGUGUGGCAUCUAAAGUGCAACUGACCUGGGGUAAGUGACUGUUCCUUUGGGACUGGCAGGAACCUGAAUAUUGCUGUGAUUCUUAGUGUAAGGACCCAGCUAUCUCAAAGCUAGCCUUACCUGGGUGGUGAGACAGACUGGAGUGCCCAAGGGGACUGUCUGUGACUCCAUGUUAAGGCCAUUUAGUGCCUGAGGGGUUUACACUUGGUAGUUGGUUGGUGAAAUCUAAGUAUAGAACUCACAGCCAGUUUGGGGUUGAUGCCCCGGUUUGUAACAGUCUGCCCUGAGGUUGGUAUUCUCGCUCCUAAGCCACACAGGACAGCUUGACCCUGUCAUUUUCUCUUCCCCUAAAAUAGUGCUGGAGCCCUAUA